CUCGGCAGUCCGCAAGGAUAGUAACAACGAAUGUCGAGGAGUCAGCAGAGGCCGAAGUAGCCGACCGCGUGACGGUCAAGGCGAAGGGC
rfam:Prevotella salivae F0493 contig00001, whole genome shotgun sequence.